AGCGAACGCUGGCGGCGUGCUUAACACAUGCAAGUCGAACGGAUCCGGGGGGCAACCCUCGGAUUAGUGGCGAACGGGUGAGUAACACGUGGGUAAUCUCCCCUCGAGUGAGGAAUAAGCCUUCGAAAGGGGGUCUAAUACCGCAUAAAACUCCGGGACGUAUGUCUUCGGAGUCAAAGCCGAAAGGCGCUUGAGGAUGAGCCUGCGUCCUAUUAGCUAGUUGGUAGGGUAAUGGCCUACCAAGGCUAUGAUGGGUAGCCGGCCUGAGAGGGUGUACGGCCACACUGGGACUGAGACACGGCCCAGACUCCUACGGGAGGCAG
rnacentral:rRNA from 1 species